AUUGAACGCUGGCGGCAUGCCUUACACAUGCAAGUCGAACGGCAGCGCGGGGCAACCUGGCGGCGAGUGGCGAACGGGUGAGUAAUAUAUCGGAACAUACCCUGGAGUGGGGGAUAACGUAGCGAAAGUUACGCUAAUACCGCAUACGAUCUAAGGAUGAAAGUGGGGGACCGCAAGGCCUCAUGCUCGUGGAGUGGCCGAUAUCUGAUUAGCUAGUUGGUGGGGUAAAAGCCUACCAAGGCGACGAUCA
rnacentral:rRNA from 1 species